UUGACAGAAGAGAGUGAGCACACAGAGGCUUUUGGUAUAAUAAUAUGCCAUUGCUCUUGUGUGCUCACUUCUCUUUCUGUCAG
rnacentral:pre_miRNA from 2 species